rnacentral:rRNA from 1 species
UACGAAGGGGGCUAGCGUUGCUCGGAAUCACUGGGCGUAAAGGGUGCGUAGGCGGGUCUUUAAGUCAGGGGUGAAAUCCUGGAGCUCAACUCCAGAACUGCCUUUGAUACUGAAGAUCUUGAGUUCGGGAGAGGUGAGUGGAACUGCGAGUGUAGAGGUGAAAUUCGUAGAUAUUGGGAAGAACACCGGUAGCGAAGGCGGCGCUCUGGACCGAGACUGACGCUGAGGCGCGAAAGCGUGGGGAGCAAACAGG